rnacentral:rRNA from 1 species
CGUACACUCCUGCGGGAGGCAGCAGUGGGGAAUAUUGCACAAUGGGCGCAAGCCUGAUGCAGCCAUGCCGCGUGUAUGAAGAAGGCCUUCGGGUUGUAAAGUACUUUCAGCGGGGAGGAAGGCAAUACGGUUAAUAACCGUGUUGAUUGACGUUACCCGCAGAAGAAGCACCGGCUAACUCCGUGCCAGCAGCCGCGGUAAUACGGAGGGUGCAAGCGUUAAUCGGAAUUACUGGGCGUAAAGCGCACGCAGGCGGUCUGUCAAGUCGGAUGUGAAAUCCCCGGGCUCAACCUGGGAACUGCAUUCGAAACUGGCAGGCUUGAGUCUUGUAGAGGGGGGUAGAAUUCCAGGUGUAGCGGUGAAAUGCGUAGAGAUCUGGAGGAAUACCGGUGGCGAAGGCGGCCCCCUGGACAAAGACUGACGCUCAGGUGCGAAAGCGUGGGGAGCAAACAGGAUUAGAUACCCCUGUAGUCCCAUGA